rnacentral:rRNA from 1 species
GAUGAACGCUGGCGGCGUGCUUAACACAUUCAAGUCGAGCGGUAAGGCCUUUCGGGGUCCACGAGCGGCGAACGGGUGAGUAACACGUGGGUGAUCUGCCCUGCACUUCGGGAUAAGCCUGGGAAACUGGGUCUAAUACCGGAUAUGACCUCCUAUCGCAUGGUGGGUGGUGGAAAGAUUUAUCGGUGCAGGAUGGGCCCGCGGCCUAUCAGCUUGUUGGUGGGGUAAUGGCCUACCAAGGCGACGACGGGUAGCCGACCUGAGAGGGUGACCGGCCACACUGGGACUGAGACACGGCCCAGACUCCUACGGGAGGCAGCAGUGGGGAAUAUUGCACAAUGGGCGAAAGCCUGAUGCAGCGACGCCGCGUGAGGGAUGACGGCCUUCGGGUUGUAAACCUCUUUCAGCAGGGACGAAGCGCAAGUGACGGUACCUGCAGAAGAAGCACCGGCUAACUACGUG